GCCACCUUAGCUCAGUCGGUAGAGCGACGCACUCGUAAUGCGUAGGUCACCAGUUCGAUUCUGGUAGGUGGCU
rnacentral:tRNA from 1 species